rnacentral:rRNA from 1 species
UCGAGAAUUUUUCUCAAUGGGGGAAACCCUGAAGGAGCGACGCCGCGUGGAGGAUGAAGGUCUUCGGAUUGUAAACUCCUGUCAUUUGGGAACAAUUGUCAGUCAUUAACUGUGAUUGAUUUGAUAGUACCAGAAGAGGAAGAGACGGCUAACUCUGUGCCAGCAGCCGCGGUAAUACAGAGGUCUCAAGCGUUGUUCGGAUUCAUUGGGCGUAAAGGGUGCGUAGGUGGCGCCAUAAGUCAGGUGUGAAAUCUCGGGGCUCAACCCCGAAACUGCACUUGAUACUGUGGUGCUGGAGUACUGGAGAGGAGAUUGGAAUUUACGGUGUAGCAGUGAAAUGCGUAGAUAUCGUAAGGAAGACCAGUGGCGAAGGCGAAUCUCUGGACAGUUACUGACACUGAGGCACGAAGGCCAGGGGAGCAAACG